AAUUUCCACUAUGGAUAAGAAUUAAGUAAAAUUUCAAUCCUCAAAACAGAUACUGAUAAAUUAACACCACAAUAGACUUCAUUCUAUUUCUGUGCCAAAGAAAUAAUCUCAACCAUCUGAUAUCACUGUACAUUAUGCAAGCUGUCUUAACCACAUAUAUACAGAGAAAUGAACUCCAGUGAGUAGGAAAAUUACAACGGGAUUUCUGUAAUGUACAAUCAAAACAUACUGCAAAUAAUCCUGUACCCACCAUAAUGCACAAUAGCUAAGAAAUCUUCCCUCAUGCUGCGUAAGUUUUAACUUAUUCCCUCAUGAAGAAUUUCCAUUUUUAGCACACCUUGGUUUGGCCAAUUUAACAUGCUCUCUCUCCAUACAGGUUAGGAAGUUUUUCAUACUCAGCAUCAGAUGUACCAAACGGAACCAAGACCAAGUAUACCAGAAAAAAGAUUAGCUUACAUCAAGGACGCCCUUUUUGGUCGAAUUUUCUUCUAUUAUCUGAGCCGCAAGCAUUAAGAGCUCUACCAUCUCAAAUCCUGCAGCAGAAACAGAAUCAAUCUUCUCACUGCUAGAGUCCCCAUGAAAAUCACCUAGCUCGUUGCGGCCACUAUCACCAACUGAUGCACCAUCUGCCUCAGCUGACCAACUAAUGGGUAAGGAACUACCAAGGGCAGUCUUCAAAAGUUUAGCCUCAGAAAUGAUAUCACCAAUGGCUUGUGACAUGCCAAUGACUGUAACUUCAGAAGCAACCGACUCUUUGACCUUUAGAAGUGCAAGACGAAGUCUAUGAAUUGAAGAAGUCAGAUGCUCCAUACAUUCCAUACUCUCCUUGAGGGUGGCGUUUUCAAUCUUCAUCCUGGCAAAAUCUAAGUCAUUGGACCUUCUGCUGGAGAAAUUUCCUUCAACAUUCAGGCGAGCUUGCUCUUCAUUUCCACUGAAAUCCAUUGUACCAAUCCAACGUCUCAGAUAUGUCUUUUUCAGCAGGCUUCUUAACCUCCCAUCUUUUUCAUGAGGAACAAGCACUUUCCUCCCACUUUCAGUCAAUGGAUUUCCUUGUUGUAUCCCAUGACCUAUUUUCUCUUGUAAUUGUUGAUAUUCCUGUUUUAACUGUGCCAACUCCAUGAGAGCUUUAACCUUUUCAUUGGUAACUUGCAGUAAGUUUCUCUGAAGCUCCUCUAUUUUUUUCUGAAGAGCUGCAUUCACAUUUCUCUCCAGUAAAUGUCUUUCUUCCUGCUGCGAUAAAAGCAACAAUGCCGCAACCUUCUCUUGCAAUGCCUGUGCAAGGGCCUCAGAGGUAUUGCCUUCUUUCAAAGCCACAGUAUCCAGUGAGCCAUCCUUAAUUUCCUUCAAUACCAAAUCUGGGUCAUUAUCAUUAGUUAUGUGUACAUCUUGACAUUCAUUUAUAUCCAGGUUUACAACUCUGUGAGAAAGCCCCAAAUUCUGUUCUUCUCUCACAUCAAUUUGUCCAAUCUUUUCUUCUAGCAUAUUAAUAGUUGAUUGGAUAUGCAAUCUCCCCUCAUCCAGUAAAUUCAUGAUGUAAACUGUGUCCACCGAAUGGUGAUGGCGUAAUUCUCCUAUACCAUUCAUUAUCAUUUUGCCCAAAUGGAUCUGCUUCUUUUCCAGUUCACGAACUUUCUUCUUCAAGUGAUUUUCUAUUUCCAAACCCACUCGUAGUUUACUUUGAAGAUUAUCCACAGAUUUCCUUGCUUUCUCUAGCUCUUCUUCUAAUGCACUCUGUCUGAUGAGAGAGUUACUCUAGUUGCAUAAAGAAAAUAUAUAUUCUUUUGUGGCUAAAUGAAAACAUUAGCAUAAAUGACAAACUCAAAUGUCCAUGAGCUGAAUUUUGAAGCAUGUUCAAAUUUAGCAACUAAUACAAUAUUCUGCAAUCCACAGCGACCUUGAGAAUAUCAAAUCAACUUGUAUCCCUUGUCCAAUCACGUUGUAGCACAAAAUAAAAACAGAAAAAGAGAACCACAAUUUGGAUUGCAAACUAGUGUAAUGAAUGUGCAAAAAACAGGGCUAAAGAAAGAUACUAAAGGUGAAAAAAAAAUAUCCAUAGAUAUACAGGCUCCUAGAGCAGCAAGGAAUCCUAGGGCUGUGAAUUAGCCAAGUUGCUCAUGAGCUAAUUGGUACCUUGGCUUGAAAAUUUCAACCCAAGUUUGUUCAUUAAAAUUAAUCAACUCAUUUUUAAGACUUGUCUAAUAAAUGAGUCAAGCUUAAGCUAAGUAAAGUUUCGCUUAUUUAGGUUCAUGAGCCAGCUCAUCUGUAAGCCUGUAUAUAAAUUUAUUAAUAAUUUGAUUUCAACAUUAAGUUUUGUAAUAUACAUAAAAACACUUAAAUUUUUUAUUUAAAAAUCAUUUUGAAAAAUGAAAAUAAAAGUUUUCAAUUUUUGAAUAUAAACUUACAGUAUAAUCCUUAAAGGUUACACAUUUUAUCAUUGUCAUUAAAAAGAACAAGUAUUGCACAGUAUAUUAAAAUUUUAAAAUAAAUAUUGUAUUUUUAAAAUAAAUCUGUGAAUAUUUACUACAAAUUAAGUCUAAUGAGAAAAAUUUUGGCAGAUUUCUGCAUGUCCAACAAAUGACCGAUAAACGAAGAGUAACUAACCACCCAAGCCUAAGUCUAAAUGUAUAGCUCAUUUUGCAAACAUCCCGAGCUAAGCUCAUCAAAACUCAGCUCAGGCUUGGCAGAGCUUAUAUGAAAUCUCGGAUGAUCCUAUGCACUCUGUGAUACACAACAAAUAAAAACAAAAAGGUCAUAAAAAGUUACAAUGUAUUUAGAGGUAGAGUUAUCAUUAUAACUCCACAUUUCAGCCGAGCCAUGUAAAAGCCAUGCACAUUUAUCAUCCCAACUCGCAUCUUCAAAUCCUUCAAGAGAAGGAAGCCUGAUCUUAUAAAACUUGUUGACAACCUUCUUGAAGGUUUCAUUCUGCUCUUCAUGCUUUGCUUGAUCUAUCACUAGUGCAUUAUUUAGUCUCUUUUGUUCAAGACAAUCUGAGACAAGCUCUUCUAACCUCUUCUGAAUGUCAUUAAAUUUUAGGGACAUCAGCUCCUCUUUCUCUUUAGCCUUUUCAGCCUCCAUUAUUGCAUGAUCGCGUUCAGCAAAAGCAGAAGCUACACAGCCUUGAAAAAAUUUAACCUGCUUCUCUGCCUCCAUAUUCUUUGCCACCUCUCCAUUAUGUAGAUCUGCCAGUUGGCUUUUGAUUCGGUAAGCCUCUGAAAGCUCCUCUUGAAGAUUUAGAUUAUCUCUUGCGCAAGCAGCCAACUUCUUUUUCAAGUUCUCAAUCUCCUGCUCCAAGCCAGCUUUGAAAAUGCAUUUUUGUAGCCACAACAAGGUAGCUAGGUCCAGCUUGCUGCAUGCACAACUGCUCUAUAUCUUUAUGUAACUCAUCACGCUCUACAAAACAUAAUGAUAAAAAACUGUUAUGUCUAAAGGCUUAAUGAAUUAUCUAAUACCAGAAACAUCAAUUUAAAACAGAAAAAAAAAGUGGAACCUG
rnacentral:misc_RNA from 1 species